AUUGAACGCUGGCGGCAGGCCUAACACAUGCAAGUCGAACGAGUGGCGGACGGGUGAGUAAUGUCUGGGAAACUGCCUGAUGGAGGGGGAUAACUACUGGAAACGGUAGCUAAUACCGCAUACCAUCAGCUGUGCCCAGAUGGGAUUAGCUUGUUGGUGGGGUAACGGCUCACCAAGGCGACGAUCCCUAGCUGGUCUGAGAGGAUGACCAGCCACACUUGAACUGAGACACGGUCCAGACUCCUACGGGAGGCAGCAGGUGGGAAUAUUGCACAAUGGGCGCAAGCCUGAUUCAGCCAUCCCGCGUGUAUUAAGAAGGCCUUCUGGUUGUAAAGUACUUUCAGCUGUGAGGCGUGACCCGCAGAAGAAGCCCCGGCUAACUCCGUGCCAGCCGCCGCGGUAAUAC
rnacentral:rRNA from 1 species